rnacentral:rRNA from 1 species
GGCCCUAUGGGGUGCAGCAGGCGAGAAAACUUUGCAAUGUGCGAAAGCACGACAAGGUUAAUCCGAGUGGUUUCUGCUAAAGGAACCUUUUGUCGGUCCUAGAAACACCGAUGAAUAAGGGGUGGGCAAGUUCUGGUGUCAGCCGCCGCGGUAAAACCAGCACCUCAAGUGGUCAGGAUGAUUAUUGGGCCUAAAGCAUCCGUAGCCGGCUCUGUAAGUUUUCGGUUAAAUCUGUACGCUCAACGUACAGGCUGCCGGGAAUACUGCAGAGCUAGGGAGUGGGAGAGGUAGACGGUACUCGGUAGGAAGGGGUAAAAUCCUUUGAUCUAUUGAUGACCACCUGUGGCGAAGGCGGUCUACCAGAACACGUCCGACGGUGAGGGAUGAAAGCUGGGGGAGCAAACCGGAUUAGAUACCCGGGUAGUCCCAGCUGUAAACUAUGCAAACUCAGUGAUGCAUUGACUUGUGGUCAAUGCAGUGCUGCAGGGAAGCCGUUAAGUUUGCCGCCUGGGAAGUACGUACGCAAGUAUGAAACUUAAAGGAAUUGGCGGGGGAGCAC